CAUUGGAGACGUAGGUUGAAGUCUUGUUACUGGCGGCAUAUCCUGCUCAAUGUCUCCAUUAUCUUCGUCCAAAUGGAUGGAACCGUCGGAAAGAAAAUAAGCAUCCAUAUCCUCGAAUCCAUCAUCGCCUUUUUUAACGUCUCUGGGAACUGUGAAUCCUGUUUUUCUAGAUAAAAAUAUUUUUUAGUAAAUUUAUUAAAAAAAGAAUAAUUAUUACGAUAUAUGGAACCCAAUUCGCGAACGUACCUGCCUACGACACCAAUUUCAAAAAACUGAUUCUCUCG